UGAGACCUCAGGUCAGGCGGGAUUACCCGCUGA
rnacentral:rRNA from 1 species